UCUUCCAGUUUCUUCGCUACCGCCUCAGGGUCCCCCUCCAGCGUCGCGGCCAGUCUGCCGGGUUUCCUGGUCUUCCUCCUCUUCCCAGCGCUCGGAGUUUCCUGCUUUGUCUCCCCCCCCCUCCCCGAGGAUCUCAGACGUUUUGAUCUCAGCUUAAACCCCACCGUCUUCAUCUUCCCAGCGCUGCUGCUCGUGCAGAUCCUCGGCGGGCAGCCUGGUUCAAAGAUUGCCUGAGACGUGAAGAAAAUUGAUGCAAAAGCUUCCUCAUGCUCUGAUCCUUAUUGACGAUGGUGGUCAAUGGAGGUAUAAAUACUGAAGAAUAUGUCAUUUACAGAGAAGAUGUUUGAAAUCUGUUUCCUUUAGACAGCAAAGCCAUGAUCUGCUGGGGAAGAGCUUGUUCUGCAGAUCUUUAUUACUGAUUCUUCAAGCAGCAUGAAUUGAAAAUCUUUGGAAUGAAGUAGUUAGCUCAGGCCAAGCCUAGUGGAGCAUCAGGUCCAGGAUGCACGGGAUCAAGGUCCGUUUUCUGUUCUCACGCAGCCUUCCGGCAUGUCACUUACCUUCCCGAAUUAGUUCCGUUCUGGCUCCAGCCUUACACCCGUGUCGCUGAGGGCAAUGCCUGCGCAGCCGGACGCGGGAAGUGGCCUAUCUUCGUGCCUGUGCCCCGGGCAGCUGGUGCGCGUCCCCUCCGGGCCCGGGCUCCUCUGCGGCACUGCCAGGUGCCCUGGAGAGCUGAGCGUGCCGGCUCUGCUGCCGGGCGCUGCUGGCACGCAGCCCUAGGGCGAAGAUCAGCCCUCUCUGCCAAACCGUGCGUCCUUGCCAUGAUGCGUGCCUACGUUAAAAAUUUGCAUUUCAAGAAACGUGCAUGUCAACCUUUAGGCUGUCCACUAGAAGAGAGCAUGGAAUGUAGGGAUGUUUUUAGUGUUCGUAUAGCAUCUUAACGUGAACGCUGGAUUUUCUUAUCCAUAAAUGGAGAUGCAGCUUAUUGGUUUGUACUAUUUGUUCCAGCGUGUGAAAGAAACCAGAACUAUACGUUACAAGUUCUCAUAAUUUUUGUUUCUUUUUAGUCAUGCAGAAGGAUGCAAAAAUAUAUCAGAGAGAUACAGCAUUAAUAAAAUAGGAAACUGGUUAUGCA
rnacentral:lncRNA from 1 species